rnacentral:rRNA from 1 species
GGCAGACGGGUGAGUAACAUGUAGGUAUCUUCCCAUUGGUGAGGAAUAACACGAGGAAACUUGUGCUAGUACCUCAUAAGUCUUUACGGAGAAAGCUUUAUGCGCCGAUGGAUGAGCCUGCACUUGAUUAGUUUGUUGGUAGGGUAAUGGCCUACCAAGACAAUGAUCAAUAGCUGAUUUGAGAGGAUGAUCAGCCACAUUGGGACUGAGACACGGCCCAAACUCCUACGGGAGGCAGCAGUAGGGAAUCUUGCACAAUGGGGGAAACCCUGAUGCAGCGAUGCCGCGUGAGUGAAGAAGGCCUUUGGGUUGUAAAGCUCUUUCGUCGGGGAAGAAAAUGACUGUACCCGAAUAAGAAGGUCCGGCUAACUUCGUGCCAGCAGCCGCGGUAAUACGAAGGGACCUAGCGUAGUUCGGAAUUACUGGGCUUAAAGAGCUCGUAGGUGGUUAAAAAAGUUGGUGGUGAAAUCCCAGAGCUUAACUCUGAAACUGCCAUCAAAACUUUUUAGCUAGAGUAUGAUAGAGGAAAGCAGAAUUUCUAGUGUAGAGGUGAAAUUCGUAGAUAUUAGAAAGAAUACCAAUUGCGAAGGCAGCUUUCUGGAUCAUUACUGACACUGAGGAACGAAAGCAUGGGUAGCGAAGAGGAUUAGAUACCCUCGUAGUCCAUGCCGUAAACGAUGUGUGUUAGGCGUUGGAAAUUUAUUUUCUGUGUCGCAGCGAAAGCAAUAAACACAC